rnacentral:rRNA from 1 species
UACGGAGGGGGGCUAGCGUUGUUCGGAAUUACUGGGCGUAAAGCGCGCGUAGGCGGAUCUGCAAGUCGGGGGUGAAAUCCCGAGGCUCAACCUCGGAACUGCCUUCGAUACUGCGGGUCUCGAGUCCGGGAGAGGUGAGUGGAAUUCCUAGUGUAGAGGUGAAAUUCGUAGAUAUUAGGAAGAACACCAGUGGCGAAGGGCGGCUCACUGGCCCGGUACUGGACGCUGAGGCGGCGAAAGCGUGGGGAGCAA